rfam:Gymnopus luxurians FD-317 M1 unplaced genomic scaffold GYMLTscaffold_27, whole genome shotgun sequence.
GCUUCCUUAGCUCAGUCGGUAGAGCGCGAGUCUCAUAAUUCGUAAUAUGAGGUCUGAGAGUGGACUAUAAUCUCGAGGUCGCAAGUUCGAGCCUUGCAGGGAGCA